ensembl:lncRNA LINC02064 long intergenic non-protein coding RNA 2064
AUAAAGGAAGAGGGCAACGUUAUCAUCUGACUGCUUGUAGCUGUGGAAGGGCGGCGUAGAAGAGGAAAGGCUGGGGGUUUCGGAUGGUUGUUUUUGAAGCCAUCAGUAUUCUUGAAGAAGCAGCAUAUCUUGAACUGUCCUAUGGGUGAAGGCUUUGAUGUGGUCCUGUAAAAACUGGCAUUGAAAUGGAUGGCAUCUGAUCCUGCUUCAUGUGAUUCUUCAUUUAGCUCUGGACUCUUUACAUCAUUAAGGUACCCUGAAUAUAUUCAGUAUGGCUUUUUCUUUGCAGGAAUUUAAAAGCAACCCUAUGAAUAUAACAUUUGUCAAAAAGAGCAAGUGCCAAGCCAGUUGAGAAUAACCUUACAAUGUGUACAAGGAUUCCAGUUCUGCUGCUAUAUAAACCAGCCUCAAAUAGUCUGAGUCUGUGAUAUCACUGGGUCACCCCCAUCACUUCAGUAGAAGGCCUGCCACUGCCUGACAUGUGAAAGAGAGCAUCCAGGAUAAGCCACCUGUCAAACUGUCAACUUUAUGCAGAUAUACAAGUGACAGGUUUGAGAUCAGCCCAGCCCAGUCAACAGAGAAAUAUCCCAGUAGAAUCAUUAUAUAAUUAAAUAACAUUAAAAAAAAAAAAAAAAGAAAAACUAAGU